GAAAUGCGAUAAGUAAUGUGAAUUGCAGAAUUCCGUGAAUCAUCGAAUCUUUGAACUCACAUUGCGCCCUCUGGCAUUCCGGGGGGCAUGCCUGUCCAAGCGUCAUUACGCACCCUCAAGCCCGGCUUGUGUGAUGGGCCCUGGCGUCUCGUUCGCGAGACGGGCCCGAAAGGCAGCGGCGGCGUCGACCCAAUGAGCCCGAGCGUAUGGGGACUUUUGUCACACGUUUGCGGUGCGGACCGGCGCCUGCUUGACUUUUCUGAUUAUCCAGGUUGACCUCGGAUCAGGUAGGGAUACCCGCUGAACUUAAGC
rnacentral:misc_RNA from 1 species